GAGGGGGUCAGACUGACGACUGCCACACGGGAAGACGUUCC
rnacentral:misc_RNA from 1 species